ensembl:rRNA 5S_rRNA 5S ribosomal RNA
UCAGCACAGCCAUAUCACCCUGCAGCCCAAGACCGCUUACUCACUGAAGCUAAGCAGGGCUGAGCCUGGUUAGUACCAGGAUGGGAGAGACCACAUGGGAACACUAGGGUUGUUGUCGGAA